rnacentral:tRNA from 8 species
GCCCGGAUAGCUCAGUCGGUAGAGCAGUAGACUGAAAAUCUACGUGUCGCUGGUUCGAUUCCGGCUCCGGGCACCA